rnacentral:misc_RNA from 1 species
GGUUCGGUCCCCAUGUAAACUUUAACCACCACCGAAGCUCGCGGUGCAAUUGAUAUUAUUAAUCGGAUAUUGUAACAGAAAUUGAGCCACACUUGUCUCGCUAAUGGCAGACCCAGAUAAUAAUUACGACGACGAGGAGCUCGUUUCGACCAAUCCGAAUCAGAGGAACUGGAGGGGUAUCUUAAUCGCUCUGCUCGUUAUCAUUGCGGUUCUUGCUCUGAUUGUUACUUCAGUUGCACUGCUCACACCUCCCGAUGAGGGGCCAAGAGUUCGCGGAUCCCAUCUUCGCCUGGCAGAGGUCUUGUCUGGAGAUUUAUCGCCAUUGCUAUUCAAUGGAAGCUGGGUAAGCGGUCGCCAUAUUUGUUUUCGUGACCCUUCGGGUGGAAUUUCCCUGCUGGAUGCUUCCGAUCCGAACAUUACAUCGCACAGCUUAAUGCCGAACUCAACUUUCAGACGAUUGAACCCGGCGAAAUUCUCACUGUCUCCGGAUCACAAGUAUCUUCUACUGGCGCAAAACGUAAAGAAAUUAUUCCGGCAUUCGUAUCUCGCCCAGUACAUUAUCUAUGACGUGAACACGAGAGAAACAAUACCACUGACUCCUCAACCGGAGACCGAUGCUCAUCCCUAUCUGCUGUUGGCUCAAUGGACGCCGAGGGGUCACGGACUCGUCAUGAUUCAAGAUUACGACAUAUACUACCGGCCUAGUCCAUUCAGUAACACUGGGUACCGUGUCACCAAUUCGGCGAUACCGGGAAUAUUGUCAAACGGAUUACCGGACUGGUUGUACGAAGAGGAGAUCUUACGCAGCGCAGAAGCGAUAUGGAUGUCCAAAGACGGACACCUGAUGUUGUACGCGUCAUUCAACGAUUCGCUUGUACAAGAAAUGAAGAUUCCGUGGUUCGGAGAAGGGACGAAAACUUUGUACCCUGACAUCCGAUCUCUUCGCUAUCCGAAGUCAGCGCAGAACUGUUACCCAAGGAUCAAUUUGUUGCAGCCAGGAACUCCGAACCCGUCGAUACAAUUGAUUGUCGCUGAUUUGGCCGACCUGAAAAAUAUUCGAUCGAGAACAUUGCGGCCUCCGCCUGCCAUCGAGCAUGCGGAACACUACUUCACCACAGCUUCUUGGGUGUCAUUGACAGAAGUCUGCGUCACGUGGCUAACGCGGACGCAAAAUCUGUCCAUCAUAACCGUCUGCAAAAGUCCCAUGUGGCAUUGUCAGGAAAUUCAGCGCAUCGUCGGAGAAGGUCGAGGGUGGGUUGACACCCCGCCGGAAUCGCCGGUUUUUUCUACGGACGGAAGUAGCUACGUCGCCAUAAUACCCGUCCGCGAUGGCCCGUCCGGAUACUACAAACACAUAAUGUUGGCAAAUGUAUCGAAGAAGCGAGUUGUCCCGUUAACUCAUGGGAGAUACGAAGUGAUCCGCAUUCUGGCGUGGGAUCAAGUCAACAAUACGAUAUAUUUCAUAGGAAUACCGCAAGCACAUCCCGGACAAAGACAUUUGUACCGCGUCAAUUCUCAGCUACCUCACCUUGGCUCAUCUCUUCACUCGCCCGUUUGCAUCACUUGUACACCUGUGAUGAAUCCCGAAGCUCAAUACAAUUCGGACCGGCCAAGCAAGCACGCUGGUACUGAUAGUAACAAUAACAAUAAUAACGGUUAUCACACCUGGCCGGACAGCAGCGAUUGGGCGGAAUAUGAGCUGACCGAGUCUCAAAGCGCGGUUCAACCUCCCUUAGAAAAGCAGGAACGUCGAGGCAGCAAGAAAAAAACCACCACGAAAAAUUUGGAGACUUGCCAAUACCAUAACGCUGUCUUUUCCCCUGGAUUGGAUUACUUCGUAUUGGAAUGCCUCGGACCGAGCAUACCGACGGUCGCUCUGUACAAAACCGCCUUGCCAGAUCCGCGCUUUAUUGGACUUUUGCAGAACAACACCGAGCUUCGGGAAAGAGUAGAGAAAAUUGCUCUUCCCCAAGUAAAGACCUUCCCCGUACAAAUAAGUGGCGGUUAUAACGCCCAGGUACGUCUUCAUUUGCCGCCUGGUUUACGGGAGGAAGAAAUCACUCGCUACCCGAUGGUCGUCCAAGUGUACGGGGCGCCGGGUUCGCAGCUGGUGACAGAUAAAUUUAAAAUUGAUUGGAACACCUACCUGGCCAGCAGCAAGGGGGCAAUUGUGGCCCAAAUUGAUGGCCGAGGAAGCGGAGGCCAGGGCUAUCAAUUACUUCACGAAGUGUACUACAGAUUGGGAUCUGUCGAAGUGGCGGACCAGCUGGAAGUGACGGAGUACUUGAGGGAUUCGUUACAUUUUGUGGAUAAGAGACGAGUCGCUGUUUGGGGAUGGAGUUACGGGGGAUUUGUCGCCGCCUUAGCCUUAGCCCAAUCUGAUCAAGACGUUUUCCAAUGCGGAAUCAGCGUCGCCCCGGUUGUUUCGUGGAAACUUUACGAUUCGGCCUACGCCGAGAGGUACAUGGGCUCGCCGAAUGUAACCUCAAACUACAAGGGGUACGAGGAAUCCGACGUUUUUAAAAAGGUGGAACACUUGCGGAACAAAAUGUAUUACCUGGUCCACGGUACCGCUGACGACAACGUGCAGUUUCAACAAAGCAUGGCUCUCGCCGGCCAUCUUGCCAAAAAGGGGAUUCUAUUCCGUCAGCAAGUUUAUCCCGACGAGAGUCACGGCUUGGCCGGCGUGAAGAGACAUCUUUACCUAUCAAUGGCUCAGUUUUUAGAAGACUGUUUCCACAAGCAAGUACCCGUUGACACGAAGGCCGGAUUGGGAAGCGGCGGAGGAUACGGGAUAUAAGCUGACGGAACGAAAUUGAUACUGGAGCGAUAUAUAUUUUUUGGGCCCCACGAAUAUGCAAUCCAUAUUAUAUACACGAGUUAGACGUCGAAGAAAGAACCUGCUAUCUACAAAGCACGGUUUAAUAUCCUCACUCGCAGUACCAAACUAAAUCAUGAAUAUUUUUAACGUUCGUAAUCGACGUAUAGCAGUGAAAAUUUUCAAUAUAAUUACAGUGCACGUGCGGAUAAGUUUUCCAAUAGAACUGGCAGAUGGUUGAUAAUUAUAUGAUUAUUGUAGUGAAAGCGUUCGAAACGAUAAUAUAUAAUUUUUCUAAAUAAUAAUAAAGAUAUAUUAUAACGUAAUAAAGUAAGGUAACAAUCAGAUUUUAAACAAUCCAAAUUAAUCUCCAAGAUAACUAUAUAGAAGAGUAGUGAAAAGUUGAAUUCUUCUUCUUCCCUUCUAUGUCGUCUUUCACGCGUGUAAUGUGAUAUCAGCUCUUAGCAGAAAAUACACAAAAUUCUAUAUUUAUAUAUAAAAACCUUAUCGAUUAGAUCGAUCGUGUGUCGGGUGUACGGUAGCAUCCGGUUCGUGCUCGUUCGCCGUAUAGAUACGAAUGUUAAUCCCGAAAAGCAAAGCCAAGGAAGCGUUGCCACAAUACCUUCACGAAAUGGAACAUACCGGCUAGAAUGCAUACUUGGAUGAAUUAUGUCCACCGAUGUAUAAUAAUUCCGUUUUCACUCCGCGGCGGGUAUUUUCGUUACCCGUUUCCCGUCGUUGCGUUGUCUUGAAAAUUAUUGAAACCUCCCGUAUACCACGUAUAUGAGUACAAUUUCCUGCACGACUGCGCCAAAGUGUUGCGUCAAUCGAUAAGAAAAGAACCAUGUUUUUGAACUGCAGUGCUUUAUCGACCAAGGGUCUGCUUUAUUGCAGUUACUGCUAAAUUCUUUUAACGUAUAUAAUUCAUCAUGAUAUUGAAUUUAUAUAUUAUAAAGUAGUUAAUUAUUAUAGGAGACCUUAGUGUUGCAAUUAUUAUACAAUUAUAUAUAAAUUAGAAAGAGACAAAAAGAAAAACGAAAAAAAAAAAAAAUUUAUCUCAAAAAACAACAAAAACAUACAAUAAUAUCACGGAUCUAGUCUACGUAUAUAGGUCCGUGAAUAAUAUAUACACAUGUUAGGCAAUAAUUUUAAGAUAAUUUAUUGUAAAUAUUACGAAGGAAUAAUUUACACAAUCCUGCUCUAUAAUUCCUAGUUAAUUGACACAAUAACAAUAAUACUAUUAAUAGGUGAAAAUGUGUAAAUAAUUACGAACGCGAUGUAUUAUUAUUAUAUGAUGGAUGCGUCAAUGAAACUAUUACAUAACUAUCUGAUAACUUUAGCGGAGAAAAAAACAAAAAUUAUCUAGAUACUGUGAAGGAAAACAAUGAUGAUAUUUAAUAGUUACCGUAGCUAGUUUAGUAGCAGAAAUUAUUUCUGUCGUACCAAUCGUUGGAAGUAUAAUGAAAUUUAUAAUAAUCUAUAAUUGCAAUAUUUACAAACAAAUGAUCGGUGUUUGAAUUAAUAUAAUACCUACGGCGCGGGUCGCGUAUAUUAAUUAUCUUAUUCGCAGAACAUACUAUAAUAAUUAUUUAUUCAUGCAGUACUAUGAUGUAUUGUUAAAGUUAUUAUUACUAUAAUAAAAUUCUACUUUUGUGACUGUCA